rnacentral:rRNA from 1 species
UACAGAGACUGCAAGCGUUAUUCGGAUUCACUGGGCGUAAAGGGUGCGCAGGCGGCCGAGUGUGUGAGGCGUGAAAGCCCGGGGCUUAACCCCGGAAUUGCACCUCAAACUACACGGCUAGAGCAUUGGAGAGGGUAGCAGAAUUCAUGGUGUAGCAGUGAAAUGCGUAGAUAUCGGAAGGAACACCAGUGGCGAAAGCGGCUUCCUGGUCCAGCACCGACGUUCAGGCACGAAAGCGUGGGGAGCAAACAGG